rnacentral:rRNA from 1 species
AUUGAACGCUGGCGGCAUGCCUUACACAUGCAAGUCGAACGGCAGCACGGGUGCUUGCACCUGGUGGCGCGUGGCGAACGGGUGAGUAAUAUAUCGGAACGUACCUUAUCGUGGGGGAUAACGCAGCGAAAGCUGUGCUAAUACCGCAUAAUCCCUUAGGGGGAAAGCGGGGGACCGUAAGGCCUCGCGCAAUUAGAGCGGCCGAUACCUGAUUAGCUAGUUGGUGAGGUAAAGGCUCACCAAGGCGACGAUCAGUAGCUGGUCUGAGAGGACGAUCAGCCACGCUGGGACGAAGACACGGCCCAGACUCCGACGGGAGGCAGCAGUGGGGAAUUUUGGACAAUGGGGGCAACCCUGAUCCAGCAAUGCCGCGUGAGUGAAGAAGGCCUUCGGGUUGUAAAGCUCUUUUGUCAGGGAAGAAACUGCAGCUCUAACACAGUAUGCGAAUGACGGUACCUGAAGAAUAAGCACCGGCUAACUACGUGCCAGCCGCCGCCGUAA